rnacentral:lncRNA from 1 species
AUUAAUACACGUCCUUAAAAGGCAAAACCUAUUAAUAUUAUCCUUGUAGUACAUUCGCAACUUAUUUGCUUUUUUUUUCUUCAUCAUUCAUCAAUAUAGUACUCCCAUUUAAUUAGUACAAAUACAAUGCUCUAGGAUUGGAGCCUCAUCAGAUACCAAUUUCACAAGUCAUACCUCUUCUUCGAAAAGCAUACGUGACCUGACCUGCUUAGGAUCGAUGUUAUAGGAACUUUAUUCCUUAUCUUUAUUAUAUGAAAAAAAAAAAAAAAACUAGUUAGUGUUCUCAUGGUACUAGUUAACAAAUUAAAAAAAACACAAAAAAAAAGUUAUGCAUUAAAAGAAUUAAAAUUUAGAUUUUUAAUUGGCUGACUACACAAUAUUUUAAAAGAACUUUCUAAAUUUGAAUUUUUUAAAGUGUGUAUCAAAUACAGUAGUAUUAUUUAACGCAUGCCAUAUUUAAAUAUCAAGAGAAUAUAUCUUUAUCUCACUACUACUCAUAGUCUCAUAGUAUAGACAUUUCUCUACCUCUUUAAUACUUUUUGUCCUUUUAUUUAUGAGAGUGUUUGCGACAGUCAGAGGAUUCAAUCCCAAAUCUGCAAAUUGAUUUUUGACUCUGUAAUACACUUUUGAAUAAGUCUUGAUUUUAUAAAUAUCUCAUAAAAGUCUCUG